rnacentral:rRNA from 1 species
GACGUAGGGUGCGAGCGUUGUCCGGAUUUAUUGGGCGUAAAGGGCUCGUAGGCGGCCUGUCGCGUCGGGAGUGAAAGCCCACUGCUUAACGGUGGGUCUGCUUCCGGUACGGGCGGGCUGGAGUGUGGCAGGGGAGACUGGAAUUCCGGGUGUAGCGGUGGAAUGCGUAGAGAUCCGGAAGAACACCGGUGGCGAAGGCGGUUGGCUGGGCCGUGGCUGACACUGAUGCGCGACAGCGUGGGGAGCAAACAGG